AAGCAUUCAAACACAUGAGUCUAUGGGGGCCAUUCCUAUUCAAACCACCCCAGUGAGUGCAUGGAGGGGUGAAUGAAUAGAGUCACAAAACAGAGAAGAGGGGUCUGACCUUGGAGCUGUUUGGUAAAGCCCUAUCCCAGGACUGUCCACCUGCUCAUUCCCUAAAUGAGCAGGGCCAGCCCUUGCUGAGGAACCAGAAUGUCCAAGGUUAGCCUGCUCCCAAGGGGAAGAGAUAGCGGAACAUGCGUCUGGCCUUCUGACCAGCUUGGCUGAGCUUCAGCAGGCCUGUCUGUGCCCUCAGGUCUCUGAGUGUUGAUGCAUUCCAUUGGAGAGAAAGCUCCAAAUCUCAGAGCCCUCUUUAGAAAGAAUGGCACACAAUUACUCUCUGUGCCAUCUUGCUCUCUUUUCACCUCCUCUUCAACUGCCCUGUAGAUGCCCUGCCUGCUGCCACAAGUAUAGAGCCUUUCCCUGGUGGCCCUUCCAUGCCAGUUGGUAUAAAAAUUUGGGCAUGGCUUCUGCAGCAGCCUCUCGAAUAAGCUCUCCACUUCUCUGUCCAGGUGUUAUUUUGCUUUGUAACCAUUUCCCAGAGACGGAGACUUAGAGACAGUGCUGAUGGGUUCCCCACACCCCUGGGAGCAUGUGACUUGAAGACAGUGGACACCUAGUACCUCAAAGGGGUGCAAGUUCUCAACAAGUUUGCCCUGUGGGCACUCUUUAGGGCAGGACUGACUGGGAUGACCAUUCUGAGAGUCACUGAAUGUUGGUGAUAAAUACUGAGUCACAGUUCUUCACAGUCAGACCCAUUGUCCCCUGAAGCAGCAGUUGCUGUUCCCUGGUAGAACCUCACUAACUACUACUCAGCUCAUUGGAUUCUUUCAUCUACUGAACUAUUCCCAGUUUUCAAGUUUGGUCAAUUGAAAAGUUUUCACAAUGAUCUUUCCUAUUUUUAAGGUUGGACUGAGAGAGAGAGGCCAGUCCAUCUGACCACUGGGGGUCCUGAAAGAUUCGGAUAGGUACAUCUGUCCUUUCUGCCAAGCAGAGGAUGGCCAGAAUGUCCAAGGUGAGCCUGCUCCCAAGGGGAGAGAUAGAAGAGGAUGUUUCUGACUCUUUGAACAGCUUGGCCAAGCUUCAGCAGGCCUGUCUGUGCCCUCAAGUCUCUGAACGUUGGUGAAUCCCAUUUGAGAGAAAGCUCCAAAUCUCUCCUAGAGCCCCCUUUAGGUAGAAUGGCUCUAGGAUGUCCAGACUCUCUGGACUCUUGGGCACUCUGAUUCCAGGUCUACCUCAUCUAGCCUGUUCCCCCCUUUAGGGACAUAGGAUGACUUUUCCCACCUGACUGUCAUUUUCACUAGUCAAUAUGAAGACUUUCAUAAUUACCACAAAUCUGGAGAAGGCUGAGGCUUCCUUAGGUCUGCAACUUCAGGCUCUCAAUUUUUUUUUAAAUAUGUUGGAUGUCUCAGAACUUCCUGCACUUAGAACAGCUGCUCCCCAGCCUUCAAGGACAUCUGUCUUGUCAUGUCACCAUCUUUGUCGUAUCUUCAAGCACAGAUUCUCCAAGAGACCCUUGCAGAUAGAUUAUGCCUUCCCCCUCAACACCGGGGUGUUUGGAACACAGCUUCAAUGAAAAACAUACCCUCUUUCGUCUCUUCUGUUUUCCUCCCUCCUUUUAUCUUUCCUUUCCUCCCUCUGAGUUCCUCCCUCCUUUCUCUUAUCCAUCAUGACUACUACAUAUUUGCUAUGUGUGGCAAUCUACUUGGGCUGCUGGACAUAGUUACAGUCAGCAUGGCUGGACAUGGCUGAAACUCUGUCCUCUCUCAGAUCCUGGAACCUAACCUUGCCUAUGAAACUGGGGCAGGUGGGGUCUGCAAGUGGCUGGAUGUGAGGAAGGUAUCAACUUUUGGCUGGUUUGAAAGCUUGGAGGAAGACACACAGCGGUAAUAUAUUAUGCAGGUCCCAUUUGUACUGUGUUAUAGGAACAUCUUCCUUCUUCAAGCCGACUGAUGUUCCCUGGCAUCUACAACCCUCGCACAUUUUACCCACUUGUCUAUUGAUGGGCACUCCAGUAACUGCCACAUUUACACUGUUGUGAAUAACACUAUCAUGGCGUGAGUGUGUGAGCAUUUCUUCAAAACUCAGCUUUCAGUCUGUUUAGGUAUAAUUCAGAAGUGGGCUUUCUGGAUGCAUGGUAAUUAAUUCCAUUCUUAUUUUUUGAGAGAAGCUGCCACACUGUUUUGCACAGUGACUGCCAAAUUUUAUAUCCCUACUGUCAGCGAACAAGCAUUUCAAAGUCCUCACAUCCUCACCAGCACUUACUGCAGUCUGUUUUAAGGUGUAUUCUAAUUGGUGUGUGCUGAUUAGACUCUUGUAAAUUUUUACUGAAGAUCUAUUCAAGCCUUUGAUUUUUUGUCUAAUUUUAUUAAUUCUUUGAGAGUUUUAUAUAAUAUGUUUUGAUCAUAUUCAUACCCCAACCCUUCCCUUUUCCAUGUUCCCUUUCUUUACCCACUUAGCUACGUAUUCUUUUGUAUUGGAUGUGUGGUCUUUCAGUGGAGUACGGUCAGCUUACACCCUUCCUUUCCCAGCCACAAGCAGUAGUCUAUAGCUCUGCUGCUAUGGGUGGGAUUUCAUGCCCAAAUCCCAUCUCCAUGCUGGGGUUUUGUCUGGCUUAAGUUUCAGGUUUUGUGCAUGCUCUCAGAGCCAGUGUGAGCUCAUAGAGCUGCAUCCCUGCUGUGUUCAGAAGAUACCGUUUCCAUCACCUCUGGUUCUUACAUUUUUUUCCCACCUUGUAUUAGUUAGGGUUCUCUAAGGAACACACCUGAUAGGAGGAAUAUAUAUGGAAUGUAUUAGAGUGGCUUAUAGACUGUGGUCCAGCUACUCCAACAAUGGCUGUGUCUCAAUGGAAAUUACAAGAAUCCAAUAGUUGUUCAGUCCACAGCUGAUCUUCAGUACAUGCCAGAAUCCUCAACAAAACACAGGCUCUAAUGACAGUGGAGAUGAACAGACUUUCUUCUUCCAUGUCCUUUAUAGGCUGCCAGCAGAAGGUGUGGCCUGAAUUAAAGGUGGAGUUUCUCACUUCAAAAGAUCUGGAUUAAUGGUGUGUCUUCUUCUCACUUAAAAGAAUACAUAUCAAAAGUCGGUCUUUCUGCUUCAAAUGAUUUUAUUUAUAGAAAAAAAUCCCUCAGAGAUGUCCACAGCCACUUCGGAUUUACUUGAAUCUAGAUGGAGAAAUGUAGACAACCAAGAGUAUCCAUCUUGUACGUCCUCUUCCACAAGGAUCCCUGGGCCUUGAGAGGAGAGAGUGCAGUAUGUAUGUUCCAUCUGGGGCUGAGCAUUCUGUAAUCUCCUACUUUCUGGCUAAAAGUGGGCCUUUCUGUUAAUAACCAUCUACUAUAAAUAGAAGCUUAUACAUUGUUGGGAGGUAGUUUAAUACUAUGUCCAUUUAGCAAAAUAAUGGUGGACGUCAACCUGCUUGUUAUUGAGGUUCAGGAAUCUGUAUAGUCUACAUAUUGAUCUCUUAUCAGAUAUGUGAUCCCCCCCCCCAUCUUUCUGCUUGCCAUUUUACUCCACUUAUAUUAGGAAGUAUAAGUUGUAAAUUUUUCCCUGGAUUCCAGUUUGCCUCUCUCCCCUUGCUGCUGAUGUCAUUGGUAUCCUGUUCAAGAAGCCGCCACCCUCACAAUGCUGGGAUGCUUUUGUCUUACAUUUCCUUCCAAGAAUUUUGAUGUUUUCGGUUUUACACUUAGAUCUCAGAGCCCAUUCUUAAUUAAUUCUUAAUUAACUUUGUAUAACUUUGUAUGGAAAGAUAGGGGUCCCAGUUCAUUCUUUUUGCACAUGAGACCUAGUUUCUUUAACCCCAUUUGCUGGGUAGACCUCUCUUAGCUUACUGCCUUCUGUUUAUUUUUCUUGUCUAAUGGCUUUGGUCAGGCCUUCUAGUAACUGUGCUGAACAGAAGGGUUAAAGCAAGCCUUUUUUGUGGCUGAUCUUUGAGAAAAGCAUUCAAUUUUUUUUUCAACGUUAAACGUGUUACUCUUGAAGGUUUCACAUAUAUUGUGGUGGCAUGAAUAUGCUUGACCCAAGAAAUGGCACUACUAGGAGGUGUGGUCUUGUAGGAGUAGGUGUGGCCUUAUUGGAGGAAAUAAGUCACUCUGUGGGUGGGCUUUAUGCCUCCUCCUCCUCCUCCUCCUCCUCCUCCUCCUCCUCCUCCUCCUCCUCCUCCUCCUCCUCCCAUGAGCCAGUCUUAUCGUAUUUGCUUUCAGAACAAGAUAUAGAACUCUCAGCUCCUCCAGAACCAUGCCUGCCUUGAUUACUACCAUGCUCCAACCUUAGCGAUAAUGGACUGAACCUCUGAACCUGUAAGCCAGCUCCAAUUAAAUGUUGUCCCUUAUACGACUUGCCUUGGUUCAUGGUGUAUCUUCAUAGCAAUGGAAACCCCAAGUCAGGCAUAUAUGAUUUUAUUAUGCUGAGAUUUCUUUCUAAUCUAUGUGUGUUGAGUGUCUUUACUAUGGAUGGAGCUUGAAUUUCAUCAAAUCCUCUUUCUGCAUCAUUUGAGUUGGUCACAUAAUUUUGUUGAAGGAUGCUACAGUAACCAAUUUCUUUUCACAGUCAGGACCACCACAGAAUCCCAGAUACAAAUCCCUCCUGAUCAGAGGGCAUGGCUAUUUUAGCAUGCCGACUAAAAUUGUUGGCUAGUAUUCUGUUGUGUAUUCAUAAAAAUAUUGUUCUGUAGUUGUAUUUUAUUCCAGUGUCUUUGCUUUCUAGACCAUGCUGGUCCUAUAAUAUGAGUUAGGAAGUGUGUGAGACCAGUAUAAAUUCUUAAAAUGUUUUCCUUACUUACUUUUGAAAGAUAAUUUUGCAGAGCAUGGAAUUCUGGGUUGUUGUUUUCUUCUCUAACACUUUAAAUAUUUCACUCCAGCCUACUCUCACUUGGGUGGCUUCUGAGGGGAAGCUAGAUAUGAUGUUUAAUCUUUUCUUUAGAUAAUGUGGUUUACACACUGAAUUCUUUCAAGGCUAAGAAAAAAAGCACUUUGAUUUUAUGAAGUUAGAGUAUGGUGUGCCUAACUAACAGGGUUUGAGUAUUUGGGGCGGGGAUAGUAAUCUGUUUGAUGCACUUUGAGAUCCUUGGAUCUGUGCUUUGGUGCCUGCUCCCAAUUCUGUUAAACAUUAACACUCAUCAUUUCAAAUGUGUCCCUUGUCCCUUCCUCUCUCCCCUGCCAUUCCCAUCACAUACAUGCAUUUGUACCUUGACAGUCCCUGAAUAUCCUGUUCUAUUAGUCAAUCAUUGUAUCUUCUUCUUUUUAGUUUUAAAGGCUUCUACUAAGAUGUCCUCAAGCAUAGAGGACAUCCCCUCUCAACUAUGUCAUCUGCUAAUGACCCAACUGAAAGCAGAGUCUGCUGUGGUUGCUUGUGGCCCUUGCCGUUUCUGUGGUUUUGGUUUCUACUGUGUGUUUCCAUGCCUUCCUGCACACGUUCCUGAUGCCUCUCUCUUCGUGUUUUAGAACUCUUAGCUGCUAAGUGUUAGCUAAGGCUUAACACAUUAGUCACUGCUGCUCUGAAUUCCCAAUCCCAAAAUCCUUACCCUGUCUCCUUCUGAUAUCGGCUCUGCCAUUUCAGAUCAGGGUUUUGCCGCUGAAUAUGCCUUGUGACCUCCUUCUUGAUGGCUAUUCACGACGCGCAGAGAAAAACAAGCUACUGUAGCUUGGUUUGUGGUGGUGUGCUGAGAUGGAAAGGAAAGGAAGAAGUGUUUGUUGGAUCUUGAAUUCAUUCUCAGUCUGUUAGUGAACCUCUGGCUGUCCGGGAUGUGAACUCCACAGCACCCCCUGUUGUUUCAUCUCAUUCACCAUGACAAACAGGCCUGAGCAGCAAUAAGAAGCCACACACUCACAUAUAGAUUAGUCAAAAAAAAAAAAAAAAAAAAUCAUGCACUUCAGCGACACCAAAUUCUGAGCAGAAGGUGGAGCAAGAAGAAGCCAGGGCAUUACUGAGGGGUUGCAGAAUGGUGCAGCUUUUUGGAAGAUAGAACUUACCAAACCAAACUCUCCCACUCCAGGAUUUUGGGACCAUAGGCUCUGAUCCUAACCCAGAGGAGCAGAAAACAUGCAUAAACAUGUGCAUGCACACAGAUAGACACACACACACACACAGGCUCUGAUCCUAACCCAGAGGAGCAGAAAACAUGCAUAAAUAUGUGCAUGCACACAGAUAGACACACACACACACACACACCGAGAGAGAGAGAGGGGGAGAGAGAGAGAGAGAAUACCUAGGAGAGUAGAUACCAUGCAACAUGGAAUAUGACCUAGCACUGGACAGAAAGGAGCUGUCACAUUCCUCAUUCAGAAACACUCAUACUGUCAGAAGUCAUCUAACGCCAUGUGUGGCCAUUCGGUGACUCUGGCUCACUGGUUUUAUUCAGGUUUUGCAUCUCAGCUGGGCACUGGUUUUUGUUUAUGUUUGAUUUUUGUUUUUGUUUUGUUUUGUUUUUUCCUGUUUCUAGCUUCAGAGUGUGUCCCAACUCUGAGGACAUCUGGCAUAGUAUAGGGUCACCCAAGCACCCCUGUAUCCUGGAUGAGGCGCUCAAAAGAGCAAGGGCAUCCUUCUCUGGACAGCUGUGACACACUUGCUGUGACAAGGACAAGGCAGCAGAAAGCACAGCUGCCUACUGGUUGUCAGGAUCUGGGUCGCUGAGGGCCUGGAUCCUUCCCUCUGGGAAGACAAUGAAAAACCUCUGAGAUGACAGUACAUGCUCUCACAAACUAGGACAAAGACAGCAGGCAGCAAACAGCAGUCACCACUCAGCUCUCAGCAAGCAGCCUUUUGCCUAACCACCAGGAGCCAGCCACCUCCCAGUCCUAGUCAUGCUGGCAGGGACCAUGAACUGCAGAGGAGAUGGAUAUGGGAGGAAGACACCCAGAAGCACCUGUGUGGCAUGGAACCUUGCCUGUCACUGAGAGAGUUCAGGGAAUGGGAGAUGACAAAGGAGCCCUUCAGUUAGAGAGGAGACAGGCAUGGGUUUGCAGUUGAAGGGUGUCAGCUGAUACUGUUGGCUGUGGCUCAUCCUGAACUGUCCUGGGGUACCUAGAAGUAUCCUGAGCCAUCCUGUGUAUCUUGGAUGUCUUGGGCUAUCUUGGGGAGUAGGGGAUAUCCUAGGAUGAUUUAAACUGUCUUGAGGGUCCUGAGAUAUCCUUAGCACUCCUGAAUUCUCAUGCUAGAUGUGACUUAUGGCCGCUCCAGAUAACUUUGAAACUCUGAGCAGAUGAUUACCUCUUUAUCAUUCCGUCUUCACAAUAGCCGCUAACUUGGGAGUAGAUAGUGUGGGCCAGGAUGCUGCAGGACAACGCCAGAGAACAAACAUGGAACUCCCCCAUUAGGAAAGAGACAAUUACCCCUCCUCUCCCCGACCCAGGAGUGCAUGCUGAUUUUGCUUCCAUGGAAAUGGAUAGAAAAACCCUCACGUUAAUAAAUCUUAAAGUUCCUAGCACCCGAAGUCUUUGGGGUCUUUCCCACUGUUAUCUACGUCAGGGUUCCAGGAGGUAUCAGUCCCUCCCCACUAACUGCUGUCACGAGAGAAUGCCCUUUAUAGCCUCAUUGCCCCUUCAAGAGGAUCCGAGAACCCUGGAGGCAGAAGGCAGCUCCUACCUCUCAGCCCCAAAAGCACUAUCCAAUAGUCAAGGUAUGGAACCGUCAACAUAUGAAUGGAUGAAGAGAAUGUGGUCUACGUGCACAACAGAAUCAUAUUCAGCCAUAAAGAAGAACAAAAUAGUGCCAUUUACAGGAAAAUGGGGGAGAACUGGAGAGUGUCCUACUAAGUGAAAUAACUUGAGCCUGGCAGGAUCAGACAGGUCCUGGCUAUGGGAAACACCAAAGUUCUCCUCCUCAGCUCUGAUGCUCUGGCCAGUUCCGGCUCAACUUAUUUCAGAGGAAAUCCAGACAACUGUGACCAGGCAUGGUCAUAAAGGCUUCAGGCAACCACAAGGCAUACAGUGACCUUGCUUUGACUUUAGGGCACCACAGAGCAUGAGAAGAAUGAUUUGGAUAUAGAACUUUCAGCUACCAUGUCUGCCUGCAUGCCACCAUGCUCCCUGCCAUGAAGAUAAUGGGAGAAACCUCUGAAACUAAAAAUCAAAGCAACUAUAUCAACUGCAUGAGACCCUCAGGAGAUCGGACCUAUAAAUGUACCUUCCCAAGAGUUGGAUGGUCCUAAUCCCCUUACCUGAAAUUCCAGGCACAAGCUCCCUCCAGCCAUCUCUCCUGGAGUGUUAGGGUAUACAGGAGAUGGAAGACACCAAUGAUGCAGUUUUCCUGAGUCAUCACCCAUUCUGGAGUGUGACUCUUAGGUGAAGUCAUUAACUUCAAUGCCCAUGUUCCUGGAUGGAACGCCUGACUCACAUUCCUCCACAUCACUCCAAUAAACUCACUGUUUCACAUGCUGGA